rnacentral:rRNA from 1 species
UACGAAGGGGGGCUAGCGUUGCUCGGAAUUACUGGGCGUAAAGCGUGCGCAGGCGGCGCGUUAAGACAGGUGUGAAAGCCCCGAGCUUAACUUGGGAAUUGCAUCCGAUACUGAUUGGCUAGAGUAUGAGAGAGGGAGGUAGAAUUCCACGUGUAGCGGUGAAAUGCGUAGAUAUGUGGAGGAAUACCGGUGGCGAAGGCGGCCUCCUGGCUUAAUACUGACGCUGAGGUGCGAAAGCGUGGGGAUCAAACAGG